rnacentral:rRNA from 1 species
GACGUAGGGCGCGAGCGUUGUCCGGAUUUAUUGGGCGUAAAGAGCUCGUAGGCGGCUCGUUGCGUCGGCUGUGAAAACCCGCAGCUCAACUGUGGGCUUGCAGCUGAUACGGGCGGGCUGGAGUUCGGUAGGGGAGACUGGAAUUCCUGGUGUAGCGGUGAAAUGCGCAGAUAUCAGGAGGAACACCGGUGGCGAAGGCGGGUCUCUGGGACGUUACUGACGCUGAGACGCGAAAGCGUGGGGAGCAAACAGG